CCUACGGGAGGCAGCAGUGGGGAAUAUUGCACAAUGGGGGAAACCCUGAUGCAGCGACGCCGCGUGAGUGAAGAAGUUUUUCGGUAUGUAAAGCUCUAUCAGCAGGGAAGAAGACACACGGUACCUGACUACGAUGCGUCGGCUAAAUAUGUGCCAGAAGCCGCGGUAAUACGCAGGGGGCAAGCGUUAUCCGGAUUUACUGGGUGUAAAGGGAUGGUAGACGGCUUUGUAAGUCUGAGGUGAAAGCCCAGGGCUCAGCCCUGGGACUGCUUUGGAACCUGUGGCGCUAGAGUGCUGGAGAGGUAAGUGGAAUUCCUAGUGUAGCGGUGAAAUGCGUAGAUAUUAGGAGGAACACCAGUGGCGAAGGCGGCUUACUGGACAGUAACUGACGUUGAGGCUCGAAAGCGUGGGGAGCAAACAGGAUUAGAUACCCUAGUAGUC
rnacentral:rRNA from 1 species